rnacentral:misc_RNA from 1 species
UCUAUGAUUAUUUGAUUUUAUUUUAAUUUUUUAUUAAAUUUAAUUUUUUUUGAGCCUCAAGUCAUCCAGGCAUAUGCCUGUGUCUCGCUUGUAGGCUCCAGGACCGCUUUGUGCAUAAAUGUGCCUUGCACCUUUAAUAGCUACAAGCAGCAGAAUCUCUUAUUUUGUUACUUUCUCUCACAGUUGCUUUAAUACCAAAAUAUGUCAUAUUUCUUCAAACGUGGAAUACUUUUGUUAAGUCUUAUUGGUGGAGGUAAAAUAGUGUCAAUAGCUUAUGGCCCAAAUUAUUAUGUUGUAAAAAGUCAUUAUUUUGGAUGUUUAUUUAUCCUAUGAGGGGAUUAUUAAAAGUGAAUAACCAAUGGAUGAUAAUUUCCCCCCCAACUUUUAUGUAUGUUAUUCUUUCUUCCCUAAUCAUUAAUUUUCUGUCUUCUUUACAGAUGGAAGUAUCUUUAAGCAUAG